rnacentral:tRNA from 1 species
AGAGAAUAGUUUAAAAAAAAUUUUAGUUUUGGAGACUGAGGAUAGGAGUAAUUUCUUUCUCUGAA